AGUAACACGUAGUCAACCUACCCUUGGGACGGGGACAACGCCGGGAAACUGGCGAUAAUCCCCGAUAGGUGAGGGAUGCUGGGAUGCUUCUUCGCUCAAAGCUCCGGCGCCCGAGGAUGGGACUGCGGCCUAUCAGGCUGUUGGUGGUGUGACGGACCACCAAACCUACGACGGGUACGGGCGAUGGGAGUCGGAGCCUGGAGAUGGGGACUGAGACAAGGCCCCAGGCCCUACGGGGCGCAGCAGGCGCGAAAACUCCGCAAUGCGCGCAAGCGUGACGGGGGAACCCCAAGUGCCGUUGGCUUUUGAUCGACGGCUUUUCGGAAGUCCAAUAAGCUUCCGGAAUAAGGGCUGGGCAAGACUGGUGCCAGCCGCCGCGGUAACACCAGCAGCCCAAGUGGUGGCCGCGAUAUUGGGCCUAAAGCGCUCGUAGCCGGAUCAGCAAGUCCUUUGUGAAAUCGGGCCGCCCAACGGUUCGGCGUGCAAAGGAUACUGUUGGUCUUGAGACCGGGAGAGGUCGGAGGUACUCUUGGGGUAGCGGUGAAAUGCUGUAAUCCUGGGGGGGACCACCAGUGGCGAAGGCGUCCGACCAGAACGGAUCUGACGGUGAGGGGCGAAGGCUAGGGGAGCGAACGGGAUUAGAUACCCCGGUAGUCCUAGCUGUAAAGCAUGCGGGCCAGGUGUCUAGCGCUCCUUGAGGGCGCUAUGUGCCGGAGGGAAGCCGCUAAGCCCGCCGCCUGGGAAGUACGGCCGCAAGGCUGAAACUUAAAGAAAUUGGCGGGGGAGCACCACAAGGGGUGGAACCUGCGGUUCA
rnacentral:rRNA from 1 species